rnacentral:rRNA from 1 species
UACGGAGGGUGCAAGCGUUAUCCGGAUUCACUGGGUUAAAGGGUGCGUAGGUGGGUUGGUAAGUCAGUGGUGAAAUCUCCGAGCUUAACUUGGAAACUGCCAUUGAUACUAUCAGUCUUGAAUAUUGUGGAGGUCAGCGGAAUAUGUCAUGUAGCGGUGAAAUGCUUAGAUAUGACAUAGAACACCAAUUGCGAAGGCAGCUGGCUACGCAUAUAUUGACACUGAGGCACGAAAGCGUGGGUAGCAAACAGG